rnacentral:lncRNA from 10 species
GUUUGUUGUAAACUCAAUUGCUUCUUGGAUUUAGUCCUUCAGCAUUAUCUGUGAUGCACUUAAUGAAAGGCCAUAGACUGGAAAGGAAACCAUGUAAAACAAAGAAACCACUGCUCAGCCUAGAGACAAGUUCACUACUAUGUACGUAAGAGUAAGAUGAACCAAACUGCAUUGGAAAUAUCAUGUGUUUUCUGACAUGCUCAAAAUUCUAAUUUCAUUAGCGAAAGGGAAAUGUCAGCCAAGUUGAGCUGCAAAGACAUUGAUAUCCAGAGUUUUUUUUUUUUUUCACUUUUCUCUAAUUACUAAUGUAUUUAAAAUACAUUAACAGGUUCAUUUCCUCAAGAGAUUCAAGAUUGAAUUACCUCUGGCCAUUUAUCUGUAUGAGUUCCUGUACCAGAAUGUGACUGGAAGACAAUGAAGCAGAAGGAAAAAUUUAACACCGGCACGGCACUGUCUUGGAGCUAAUCGUUUUUCACCAAACACACACAUGUAGCAGCAAAACAUCCUUAAAAUGAUACUAAUAUUCCAUAAUACUCUACAUAUGAGAUUUCCAAGUUGUGGUCACUAUGAGAAUAUGAGGCUCAGACUAUCCCUCAAGAGAGGGUCUGCUGACAGGAUUAUAGGAGGCUGAUGUCCUCCAGCUGCCUCAUCUUGGGAAUAUCAGAGAAUAUACAGAGAAUGAGGGUAUCAAUUCCCACACAUCCCCGGAGACUCAAGCAGAAAUAUUGAGCAAUAAAGACAAAGAGAAUAAUUAGAGAAGCUGAAGAUCUCCAUGAAAAGGUUUUUGAUGUGGAUGCUGUAGAUCAGACAACAAAGAAAUCGAGAAAGAACAAAGAUUGCACUCCUGUCGCUGGCCUACAGACUCCAAAACCACCUCCCAACAUGUGGUCUUAUGGUGGCUCUGACUGGAGUGAAAAUUUUCCGUAGAAGACUGGUGUCUUGGACAUAAGUAAUUCAAAAAUAGGAGGCAGUGGAAAGGGUCACAUUGGUAAAUGCAAAGGCUGACUCAAUUUGGAACUUGGGUGGCAAGAACAUGAGACUCAAGGUGUAAGUAUAAAUGAACAGAUUUUGAAAAUAUGGAUAUAAAAGAAAAAAUAACACAAAAAAAUGAUCUUGGAGCUGGGACUGCACCAUUGCAAAAAUUUUAACUCGCCAAGAAAGCAGUGAUGUCUGAGAGAACAAGGAGUGAUAGCAAAUGCACAGUUCCAAGGGAACCAUCUGCAAGGAGCUUCCUCCCAACUGAGCAAGGUUACAGAUUGCAGAUUCUGGGCAACUGGUGUGAACUGAGAGGCACUCGGCUAAAGAUAAACCAAAGGCAUUCUUCUUUUGUUCAGAUAACAUGGGAUAUCUUCUCCAGCUUUUGGCAGUACCAAGUGCUAGGUUCUAGGAAUAUAAUGUUUCUCAGAGUAAGUCUGUUAUUUUCUAAAUAUCUUGGUGAUAAUUAUGUGGCUUUAUUUCUAUUGGACUCUAAAAAGAAAAUCAUGGGCACCAGAGUCUUGUUGUCAAACUAAUUUAACUUCCAAAGUCCUGAAGAAAAUUGAACCUAUUCCUGAGAAAACAGCCCAGGUUGCAUCUGCUGAAGGAAAACUAACUCUAUAUUGGCAUCACAUGCCCUUUAGUUAAGUCAGAGAAGAGUAAGAAGCAGGUUUGACAUUGUGGAAGACAGGGCGGUCAUUCCUCAAAGACCUAAACACAGAAAUACCAUUUGACCCAGCAAUCCCAAUACUGGGUAUACACCCAAAGGAAUAUAAGUCAUUCUUUUAUAAAGACACAAGCACAUGUAUGUUCAUUGUAGGACUAUUUACAAUAGCAAAGACAUAGAAUCUACCAAAAUGCCCAUGAAUGACAGACUGGAUAAAGAAAAUGUGGUACACAUACACCAUGGAAUACAAUGCAGCCACAAAAAGAAAUGAGAUCACAUCAUUUGCAGGGACAUGGACGGAGCUGGAGGCCAUUAUCCUUAGCAAACUAACACAGGAACAGAAAACCAAAUACCACAUAUUCUCACUUGUAAGUGGGAGCUAAAUGAUGAGAACAUGUAGACACAUAGAGAGUAACAAUACACACUAGGACCUAUCAGAGGGUGGAGGGUGAGAGGAGGGAGAGGAUCAGGAAAAAUAGUAAUGAGUACUAGGCUUAGUGUCUGGGUGAUGAAAUAAUCUGUAGAACAAACCCCCGUGACACAAUUUUACCUAUGCAACAAACCUGCACUUAUACACCUGAACUUAAAAUAAAAGUUGAAAAUAAAAAAGGCAGGGUGGGAUCCAUUUUAUUAUAUAUGUAUGUAAAUAAAUACAUAUAUAUACAUACACAUACAGUCAUGCAGUGCUUAAUGAUGGGGAUACAUUCUGAGAAAUGCAUCCUAAGGUGAUUUUGUUGUUGUGCGAACAUCAUGGAGUGUACUUACACAAACCUAGAUGGUAGAUGCUACUAUACACUUAGGUCGUAUGGUAUAGCCUAUUGCUCCUAGACUAUAAACCUGUAUAUGACUUCAAGGAAUAUUGUCAGUAAUUGUAACACAAUGGUAUUUAUGUAUCUAAAUAUAGAAAAGGUACAGUAAAAAUACUCGAUGAAAAAUGAAAUAUAGUACACCUGUAUAGCACACUGGUAUACCAUGAAUGGAGCUUACAGGACUGGAAGUUGCUUUGGGUGAGUCUGUGAGUGAGUGGUAGUGAAUGUGAAGGUCUAGGAGAUUACUGUAUACUACUUUAGACUUUAUAAACACUGUACACUUAGGAUACACUAAAUGUAUUUAAAAUAUUUUUCUUCAACAAUAAAUUAACCUUAGCUUACUGUAACUUUUUUACUUUAUAAACUUUCUCACGUUUUUUAACUUUUUGACUUUUUUUGUAAUAACGCUUAGUUUAAAACACUCAUUGUACAGCUGUACAAAAAAUAUUUCUUCUUUAUGUACUUAUUCUAUACACUUUCUUCUUUUUAUUUUAUUUUUUAAUUUUAAAACAUUUUUGUUAAAGACUAAAACACAAACACACACAGUAGCCUGAGACAACACACAGUCAUGGUCAUCAAUAUCACUGUUUUUCUUCUUCACCUCUUGUCCCGCUGUCUUCAGGGGCAAUAACAUGCAUGAACCUGUCAUCUUCUAUGAUAACAAUGCCUUCUUCUGGAAUCCCUCCUACAAGGACCUGCCUGAGGCUGUUUUACAGUUAACAUAUUUUUUGUAAGUAGGAGUAUACUUUAAAAUAACCAUAAAAAUAUAACACAGUAAAUACAUAAACCAGUAACAUAGUAAUUUAUUAUAACAGUCUAGUAUUAUGUACUAUACAUAGUUGCCUGUGCUAGACUUUUGUAAGACUGGCAGAGCAAUAGUUGUGUUUAUACCAGCAUCACCACAAACAUGUGACUAAUGCAUUGUGAUAUGACUACAAAGGCUAAGAAGUCAGCAGGCUAUAGCAAUUUUUCAGCUCCAUUAUAAUCUUAUGGGACUACUUUCAUACAUGUGGUCCAUCCUUGACUGAAACGUCAUUAUGUGGCACAUGACCAUAUACAUAUAUAUAUAUAUAAUCUUACAUUUGCAAAAUUAUCUGUAAUUUGCAAAUAAAAAAGAAUUCGAUGGGGGGUUCUUUUGGACUAUUAUAUAUAAGAAACAAACUUUAACAAGCAAAAGACUACUUGAAUUAACUUCUUUCUGGAAUCCCUAGUUGGGAGAAAUUUUAUUAUUGACUCAUGAGGUUUACAUUCAAACUUUUUGCAGUGCCCUAGUAGGCUACAUUGAAUAAUAUGGCUGGACAUAGUUCGAGGUUAAGAAAGAGAUCAGGGUAUGAAUUUUCAGCUUUGGGUAAAAUACCACCUUAGAGUCCAUUUAUUUAACAUUUUAUUGUGACUCAUUCCAGAGUCUUCUGGGAACAAAAUGUAAAACAGCCACUUGUAGGUCUAGGAGACAACCCAGUGGAGGUAUGGCUGGUAUUGGAAAAGUACAAGAACCUGGACACAAGGCUGUUGUAAAAAAAAAUGCUGCUCUCCUUCCCUGAGUGGGUAGCGGCUUAUUGACUGAUGAUGAGUGCAAUGUCUAGACACAAAGGGUUAAGACCUCAGAAACCUGGGGGAAAAUUAUGGGGGAAUAGUUCUUUCCAGCCCCUGAAGUUUCCCCCGAUAUAAACACUUCUGUCUUUUUCUAACCUUUAAUCACUAUUUUACCAGAAGUAAUAAGAUGAUUCAUCGAACUAGUAAAUUUGAGGACAAUAAUUUGGGUGUACUGACUUCAGCUCUUCCUUUUUUCUUUUAUUUACUUCUUCUUCUCCUCCUCUCCCAUCAAAAAGUCAGUAGGUGACGUACCUCCAUGCCCGAUGUGUAACCUUUGUGGUCUUUGCAUUUCAGGUCUGGUCUGGCAUGUGCAGGUGGUUAAGUGUCUCAGUCUCAUAUUUACUUGGUAGGUUUAUUUGGCUCAGACACUAAGCUACAUCAUCUCACUUAGUAGUUAUCAUGAAUCAAGGUGAAAAUUUUGACCCCAUCUGCUUCUUUUUUUCACACUUUCUCAACAUUUUUAGAACAUGGAUGGGAAAGAGGGAUGCUAUUUAUUAAGCCUGCUGAUUUCCUAGAAAACUGACAUGAAUCCCAUUUGGCAGAUGAAAAGAUUGAGUCUUUUGAGUGUGAACAAGUCAACCAAGUUCACGUCAUUAGCAAAGGAAAGGGGCCCAUAUUUGAAGCCACCUGUCUGGUUCUAUAACCUACCCUUAUAGCCAUCUUGCUGAUUUUUUGUUCUUUUCUUGUUCCUGGGUUGAACACAUACUUUAUUUCCUCAUUAAUGAAAUCAGAUUCUUUCUUUCAACGAAUUAAGUACUUAUUUGGUAACAAAACGAACUAGAAUGCGUAGAAGGUCUCAGAAUCCAUUGCUCUUCUAAGCUAAUGUUAACUCAAACAGAGAUUGAGAAAUGGAAAGAGGGAACAGGAAGAAAAGAGCAAAAGAAGAAACUUGGGAGCUGGAGAAGAGGACGUUUGGGAGGAUGGGGUUAUUGCAAAUGUCUAUUUAUGCUUCUAACUCCCUAUGGUGAGGAAAUGAUCAUGAAAAAUGACAACAAUUUCUCUUCAAGUAACUUGUGUGGUAAAAGUGGAAAAAAUAAGGGGCUUGGUUAAGUAUUAUGUAUGUUGUUAAUUACCACACACACACAAACACACACACACACAUAUACAUAUAUACACACACACACACACACACACACACACGCAUAAUUAUUUUUUAUACAGGGUCUCACACUGCCACCCAGACUGGAGUGCAGUGGCAUGAUCUCUGCUCACUUCGGCCUCCACUUCCUGGGUUCAAGUGAUUCUCAUGCCUCAGCCUCCUGAGUAGCUGGGACUACAGGCAUGCAUCAUCACGCCUGGAUAAUUUUUUGUAUUUUUUGGUACAGAUGGG